rnacentral:rRNA from 1 species
AGAGUUUGAUCCUGGCUCAGGAUGAACGCUGACAGAAUGCUUAACACAUGCAAGUCUACUUGAACUUCGGUUUGGGUGGCGGACGGGUGAGUAACGCGUAAAGAACUUGCCUCACAGUUAGGGACAACAUUUGGAAACGAAUGCUAAUACCUGAUAUUAUGAUUUUAGGGCAUCCUAAGAUUAUGAAAGCUAUAUGCGCUGUGAGAGAGCUUUGCGUCCCAUUAGCUAGUUGGAGAGGUAACGGCUCACCAAGGCGAUGAUGGGUAGCCGGCCUGAGAGGGUGAACGGCCACAAGGGGACUGAGACACGGCCCUUACUCCUACGGGAGGCAGCAGUGGGGAAUAUUGGACAAUGGACCAAAAGUCUGAUCCAGCAAUUCUGUGUGCACGAUGACGUUUUUCGGAAUGUAAAGUGCUUUCAGUUGGGAAGAAAAAAAUGACGGUACCAACAGAAGAAGUGACGGCUAAAUACGUGCCAGCAGCCGCGGUAAUACGUAUGUCACAAGCGUUAUCCGGAUUUAUUGGGCGUAAAGCGCGUCUAGGUGGUUAUGUAAGUCUGAUGUGAAAAUGCAGGGCUCAACUCUGUAUUGCGUUGGAAACUGCAUGACUAGAGUACUGGAGAGGUAAGCGGAACUACAAGUGUAGAGGUGAAAUUCGUAGAUAUUUGUAGGAAUGCCGAUGGGGAAGCCAGCUUACUGGACAGAUACUGACGCUAAAGCGCGAAAGCGUGGGUAGCAAACAGGAUUAGAUACCCUGGUAGUCCACGCCGUAAACGAUGAUUACUAGGUGUUGGGGGUCGAACCUCAGCGCCCAAGCUAACGCGAUAAGUAAUCCGCCUGGGGAGUACGUACGCAAGUAUGAAACUCAAAGGAAUUGACGGGGACCCGCACAAGCGGUGGAGCAUGUGGUUUAAUUCGACGCAACGCGA